UGUAUGUAUAUAUGUAUGUAUAUCAUGUAUUAUUUAUUUUUCACACCAAAUUGUUGAGGCCCCUCUGGCGGCCCCCACUUUGAAAACCACUGGUGUAAUGAACAGAAUCUGCUUUUAGUUAAUAACUGGAAUCUGUUCUGGGAGCAUCCUAGGUUGUUUCGUCCUGAUGGCCUGCACCCCAGCAGCCUCGGAGCGGAACUGCUGUCAGACAACAUCUCGAAGGUGCUACACACCAAGUGACUGCCUACCCGUGCUUACUUGAAGACAGUGAGGGGAGCAGCAUUGGAGAGACAGUUCGCUCCAUUCUCCAAAGAAUUGGGGAGAACAGCCUGUGAUGAAUGUUUUCGUUGAAAGGGUCAAAAGAUAUUGCCGAACGAGCCCAUGGAUGUGAAUAUACUGUUGCCAGUUGCAGAGAGGCCAUCGGCAUCUACCUAAAAAAUGCCCCAGCCAGGAAAGCAGAGCUAUGUGGGAUCUCCAGUGCAUCCUACAAGAAUUGGGUGUGAGUCCAGUUCAGAUUCAAUUUUGGAAUCUCAUUCAUCUCUCUCGCGUGACAGCCUCCAAACAGUAUAAUUCUAAUGAGCUUGUAUAUACUGAGAAUUCCAUUUGGAUUUAUUUGAUGUCUGAUUAAUAAAAAAAUUUCUUUGAUUAGCAAUACAUGAGU
ensembl:lncRNA